GGUAUCUGAAAUCCAGUGAGAAUACCCGCUGAACUUAAGCAUAUCACUAAGCGGAGGAAAAGAAAUUAACUAAGAUUGCCUCAGUAGCGGCGAGCGAAGCGGCAAAAGUCCAAACUGUAAAUCUCUGGUUUUCGGCCAGCGAAUUGUAAUCUACAGUGGUGCGCUGACAAGUGAGCUGGUGCAUAAGUGCCUUGGCAUAGGCCGCCAGAGAAGGUAACAGCCCUGUCUUUGGUGCCAGCUUACUCUAAGUGUGCAUACGACGAGUCGGGUUGUUUUGUACUGCAGCCCUAAUUGGGAGAUAAACUUCUUCUAAGACUAAAUACUCGUGGGAGACCGAUAGCGAACAAGUACUGUCAAGGAAA
rnacentral:rRNA from 1 species